UACGUAGGUGGCAAGCGUUAUCCGGAUUUAUUGGGCGUAAAGGGAACGCAGGCGGUCUUUUAAGUCUGAUGUGAAAGCCUUCGGCUUAACCGGAGUAGUGCAUUGGAAACUGGGAGACUUGAGUGCAGAAGAGGAGAGUGGAACUCCAUGUGUAGCGGUGGAAUGCGUAGAUAUAUGGAAGAACACCAGUGGCGAAGGCGGCUCUCUGGUCUGCAACUGACGCUGAGGCUCGAGAGCAUGGGUAGCGAACAGG
rnacentral:rRNA from 1 species